rnacentral:rRNA from 1 species
AUACGGAGGAUCCGAGCGUUAUCCGGAUUUAUUGGGUUUAAAGGGUGCGCAGGCGGCCAUUUAAGUCAGCGGUUAAAUCGUGGGGCUCAACCCCAUUCUGCCGUUGAUACUGGGUGGCUUGAUUGCGGUCGAGGUUGGCGGAAUUCGUUGUGUAUCGGUGAAAUGCAUAGAUAUGACGAAGAACUCCGAUUGCGUAGGCAGCUGACCAGACCGCAAAUGACGCUCAUGCACGAAAGUGCGGGGAUCGAACAGGAUUAGAUACCCUGGUAGUCCGCACAGUAAACGAUGAAUACUUGUUUUCGGCGAUAUAAUGUCGGAGGCAAAGCGAAAGCGAUAAGUAUUCCACCUGGGGAGUACGCCGGCAACGGUGAAACUCAAAGGAAUUGACGGGG